rnacentral:lncRNA from 1 species
CAUAUCAUCAUUACUGAUUGUUGCUUCAGUAGAAACAUUAUUAUCACAGCUCAGAGCCCUAUUCCUUUUUCGUCUCCCUUUCCUCCUCUUUUUUGCUGUUGUAUUUGAAAAUCCAUCACAUGAUUGAUUCAACAAGAAGGUCAUCCCCAAUUUCUGAUCAUUUAUCGCCUUUCUAUUUUUAACUUCAAUUGUUUGUCCAGAAAUCGCGCACACACUCUCAGUAGGCUCCAUAUCUGAGUCUCUAUUGUGCUAUCUUUUCACCACACAAAAACAAAAAAAAAAUUGAAACAAAAAUCAAACCCAGCUCUCUAACAAAAAAAAAGCAGAAAUUCCAUGGGAAACCCCAGAAAAGGGCUUAGAGAAGAACUGAACCUGCAAAAGUGAAGAUCGGCGCUUCGGACGGCGGAAUUAGGCGCCAAAAUCGAAGUGCGUUAGAAUAUUCUAGCGCUUCUCUGGUUUUUCUUUUUUCUUAAUACAUCAAAGGAAAACAUAUGUUCAUGAAAUUAUAAUCUCUUAUUCUUAAAAACUUUCAGCUUUCCGAGGCUCAUUGUUUAAAGUUCCUAAACAGCUAUUUAUCUAAUUUUUAAGAUUUUUAUAAAAGAGUUUUAGGUCCAUGAAUUAUAAUCUCUAGGUUAUAAGGACUUGGUAGGUUUGUUGUUGUAAUUAAUGUAAAAAUUGCACGUAAUGUACUGGUCGUUCGGUUUAAUUUAUACUUUUUUUUAAAAUAUUUUAAUUUGUACUCAUUUUUAAAGCAAUUUCAGCCACAUUUAUACUCCUUCAUUGUCUUCCUUUUCUUCUUUCUUCUUUGGUUGUUGUUGGUGCUGCUAUAAAUAUACAGUAAUACGGAUAUAUAUUGAAUCCUAAUGACUUUUGACUUUGUAUUUUCCUAUGGUUCCCUCAGUCCUUAAAUUUUAUUGAACGAGCUUUGAAAAUAGGUGGCAUUGUAGUUGUACCACUUAGUAACAAGCCAAUGGCAGGAUUUUCACCGCCAUCAAAUUACAAGAUUAUCUAUGUAUGAAAAUUUGAUUCAACUAUUAUAGCCAUGAGGGAAAUAAAGAAUGUCUCUAUCAGCUCGUUCCUAUUUCAAAAAUUGCUCAACUUACAUUCUUGAUUUUCUUGAAACUGAAACUGAUCAACUGGGGAAGGAGACCAAGAAAUUAUAGAAGCCUUUUCUCGAUGUUGUGACAAACAAGAAAUUAUAAAAACUUUGACUUUGGAAUCAAGAGUAAUAUGAACUAGAAAACCGUAUAGCUAAGAUAUGUAAUAAUCGUAAAGAUAGCUUAAGAUGUAAGAACGAUAAGACAAGUAAUAAUCUUUUCACAAGAGAGAGAGAGAUAGAGAGUUGUAUAUUCUCAAUGGAAAAAUACACAUGAGUCUUUACAAAGGGAAGGACCCCUUUAUAUAUUAAGGGACCUUCCUCGAAAUAAUCAAAAAAAAGUACAAGGGUUGGUGGUCUCAGUGUACGGAAGAGUCAGAGCUUUGAGCGAUAUCGUCUUGAGUCAGAGCUUUCGAUCCGUCCGCUUACUGGGACCGACCUUAUUUGAGUCGGCCUCAACUAGGUCGUUCUCUACGUCAAAGGCGUGCGUAGAUAACAUGAGAACAUAGGGAACCAAAUUUGCCCAAUACAGAUAGUCCCUCAGUUUGUUGGGGACGUAGCCGAGAGACGUCUUCAACGAACGGAUAUACGUGCUCGUCCUUUCCAAAAAUUUGGCCAUACUUGUAGAUAUUGUGGAAAAGGGCGUGAUCAUAUGCGGAGGGGUUACGCUGUUGACAUAUAACCUCCUUUUAGGGCUCCUUUUUAGGAUGACAUCAUCGAUCACGUACGUGAUCAUUACUUUUUCUCCCAAGGCGGUUCAGGACAUGACAUUUUUCUUCUCGGUUUCCUCCUCUUUUUCCCCUUAUUAUUAUGCUCCACAUCCAUACAUACAUCCUGCAUAUCAUCAUUACUGAUUGUUGCUUCAGUAGAAACAUUAUUAUCACAGCUCAGAGCCCUAUUCCUUUUUCGUCUCCCUUUCCUCCUCUUUUUUGCUGUUGUAUUUGAAAAUCCAUCACAUGAUUGAUUCAACAAGAAGGUCAUCCCCAAUUUCUGAUCAUUUAUCGCCUUUCUAUUUUUAACUUCAAUUGUUUGUCCAGAAAUCGCGCACACACUCUCAGUAGGC